rnacentral:lncRNA from 1 species
ACUUGAACCGGAAGCAACUAAACCGAGUUAUGGUUUAGAGAAGAUAAAGUCAAAUAUAUUAGGAGUUAUCUAAUAUAUAUGUAAUCCUAGUGAGAUUAGGAUUUGAGAGACUUGUAUAAAUAGAGAGGUUGAGUCAUGACCUAAUUUGUGAGAGAGUUUAAGUUUUGAGAGAUUUUCUUAAACUAAUAAAGGCUAUUGAGUUUGUGAGUUAAACACUUUCUUUUGUUAAUCGUAAGAGUUUGAUCAUCAAAUAUCGUAUUAAAUAUUUGGUAUCAGAGCUCUUUGCGAUCAUGGGAGAGAUCACGGAAAGAGCACAAGCGGAGGUGGCCAAGAUAAGUGAAGGAGGAGGCUCGUCGACGAUAAAGUGCCCUAUGCUUAACAUGACCAACUACACCGUUUGGGCAAUGAGAAUGAAACUUCUACUCAGGGUACACAAGGUCUGGGAAGUGAUUGAAACACCAUCAAACGAUGAAGAGAAAAACGUGAUGGCCAUGGCUUUAAUGUUUCAAUCUAUUCCCGAGACCCUUACCUUGCAGAUAGGAGAAAAUAACACUGCAAAGAAGGUAUGGGAUGCCAUAAGAACGAGACAUGUAGGUGCUGAGAGGGUUAAGGAAGCAAGGUUACAAACGUUGAUGGCUGAUUUCGAUCGUUUGAAGAUGAAGGAUACGGAGAAAAUCGAUGACUUCGCCGACAAGUUAUCAGAAAUCGCUUCGAAAUCGUCGGCUUUAGGAGAAGAGAUUGAAGGACCUAAACUUGUCAAGAAGUUCCUUAAAAGUCUCCCUAGGAAGAAGUAUAUUCAUAUUGUUGCUGCACUUGAACAAGUUUUGGAUCUCAAAACCACAAGUUUUGAAGACAUCGUAGGCCGAUUGAAAACCUAUGAAGACCGUGUGUGUGAUGAAGAAGAAGAUCAAGAGGAUCAAAGCAAGCUGAUGUAUUCAAACACGGAAUCUCAAUACAACAAAGAAUCUAAUGGUGAGUAUAGAGGCAGAGGUCGUGGAGGACGCUUCUAUAGAGGAAGAGGCAGAGGACGUUUUGGUGGAGGAAGAGACACUUCAAGUGUUGUUUGCUACCGGUGUGACAAAACUGGUCACUUUGCAAGCAGUUGUCCGGAUCGUCUUCUAAAGCUUCAAGAAGUUCAAGAGCAAGACAACAAGAGCACAACAGAGGCAGAUGAACUCAUGAUACACGAGGUAGUGUAUUUAAACGAAGAAAAAAUUGUACCAAACAAAUACGAAACAAAUUCAGGGGGGGAGAAUGUGUGGUACCUUGACAACGGCGCUAGUAACCAUAUGACCGGAGAUAGGCGAUAUUUCACAAGCUUAGAUUCAACCAUGACCGGGAAAGUUAGGUUUGGCGAUGACUCCCGGAUAGAUAUUAAGGGGAAAGGAUCCAUAGAAUUCAUAGACAGAAACAGUGAGCUAAGAAAGAUGGUUGAUGUUUAUUUCAUUCCUGGACUAAAGAGUAACAUUAUCAGCCUAGGACAGGCUACCGAAUCUGGUUGUGAUGUGAGAUUGAAAGGGGAAAAGCUAACAAUGCACGAUAGCGAGGGGAAGUUACUUGUCAAGGCAAUAAGAUCAAGAAAUCGUCUUUAUAAAGUGGAUAUGGGGAUCAAAGAUACAAUGUGUCUCCAUUCAAGAACUCAAAUAGAUUCUGAGAGAUGGCAUGCAAGGCUAGGGCAUGUCAAUCUUGAAACAAUGAAAACAAUGGUAAGGAGAGAACUUGUAACUGGGAUUUCACACGUUGACUUUGAGAAGAAAAUUUGCGGCUCAUGUUUGCUUGGAAAGCAAACAAGACAAGUAUUUCCACAAGCUACAAUGUACCGAGCUACCAAAGCACUUGAGUUGAUCCACGGAGAUCUCUGCGGACCGAUUACACCAAACACUGCGGCUGGAAAUAAAUUUGUUUUCGUGCUCAUUGAUGACUAUUCUAGAUAUAUGUGGACUGUGUUACUGAAAGAGAAGAGUGAGACUUUUGGAAAAUUCAAGAAAUUCAAGUCCAUAGUUGAACAAGAAACAGGGGAAAAGAUUCAAACCUUUAGGACUGAUAGAGGAGGUGAGUUUGUGUCCAAAGAGUUUAAUGAUUUUUGCCUAGAAUCAGGAAUAAGAAGGCAUCUUACAGCUCCAUACACUCCCCAACAAAACGGAGUUGUUGAAAGACGCAACAGGACUCUUAUGGAAAUGACUCGAAGCAUUUUAAAGCAUAUGAAAGUUCCAAACUGGCUUUGGGGAGAAGCAGUGAGGCACUCAACAUAUCUCUUAAACCGUAUAGCUACAAGGUCACUUAAGGAUAAAACUCCAUAUGAGAUGUUACGAGGAAAAGUUCCAAAUGUUAAUCACCUUAGAGUCUUCGGGUGCAUUGGAUAUGCUAAAACAGAGAUGCCACACUUGAAGAAGUUAGACGACAGGUCUCGUGUUUUAGUUCACCUAGGCACGGAGCCUGGUUCAAAGGCAUAUCGCUUGUAUGACCCGAGGAAUAGAAGGGCGGUGGUAAGUCGUGAUGUUGUUUUUGAUGAAACAACAUGCUGGAACUGGAAUAAAAUUACUACAGAGAAUGAUGCUGUCGGAAAUCUCAGAAUUGAGUUUGGAGUUUUUGGAAAUCAUGGUAUCUUCGAAACAGAGCACAGUGAAGAAACAGAGCAACGAGGAGAAGUUGGAGAUAAUGUCGUCACCGGAACAGAGGAAAUCGUGUCUGCAGGUGAAGAGAACAAUGGAGAAUCAUCGGAGGAAGAUGAAAACAUUGAUGCUAAUGAGCAAACAGCUCAAACUGCUGCGGGAAGAGUGGUGACUAAAUCGGGGAGAGUAGUCACAAGACCUAAGUAUCUCCAAGACUAUGUACUGCUAAGUGAAGAAGAAGGAGAACGAUUGUUAAUAUGUUUGAAUGAGGAACCAUGGAGCUUUUCCGAUGCAAAGGAGUCGAAAGAGUGGAUGGAUGCGUGUAAAGAUGAGAUUCACUCAAUAGAAAAGAAUCACACUUGGGAUCUUGUGACACCACCACAAGAAGCAAAACCGAUAGGCUUAAAGUGGGUCUUCAAGCUCAAAAGGAAUUCUGAUGGUAGCAUAAGCAAACACAAGGCCAGGCUCGUUGCAAAGGGAUACGUACAAAGACAUGGAAUUGACUUUGAGGAUGUGUUUGCUCCGGUAGCACGAAUUGAAACAAUUCGUCUUCUCAUAAGCCUCGCAGCAUCAAGUGGAUGGGAGAUCCACCACCUUGAUGUCAAAACUGCAUUCCUUCAUGGGGAGUUGAAAGAAAUAGUAUAUGUCAUGCAACCAGAAGGCUUUGUAGUAAAAGGACAAGAGGACAAGAUUUACAGACUUAAUAAGGCUUUGUAUGGGCUAAGGCAGGCGCCAAGAGCAUGGAAUGAGAAGUUAAACCGAGUCCUUAAUGAGCUUCAAUUCAAGAAAUGCACCAAAGAACCAUCGGUUUAUAGGAAACAGGUAGAUCAACAUACUCUUCUUGUUGCGGUUUAUGUUGAUGAUCUUUUUGUAUCGGGAACAAGUGUGAAGUCAUUGAGGAGUUUAAGAAAGAAAUGGCGUCAAAAUUUGAGAUGAGUGACCUUGGCAAACUGACCUACUACCUUGGGAUUGAAGUUUGUCAACUUGGAGAAGGAAUAACUCUAAAUCAAAAACGCUAUGCAUUGAAGAUACUAGAAGAAGCAGGAAUGGCAGAAUGCAACCCGGUUCAUACACCAAUGGAAGCAGGCUUGAAGUUGUCUAAGGCUUUGGAAGAGAAAGACAUUGAUGCUACAACUUAUAGGAAGAAUAUAGGCUGUCUUCGUUACUUGCUACACACAAGACCAGACUUGUCUUAUUGUGUAGGUGUGCUAAGCCGGUAUAUGCAAAGUCCAAAGGAGUCACACGGAGUAGCAUUGAAACAAUGCUUGAGGUAUUUAAAGGGGACAACAACCCUUGGCCUAGUGUUUAACCGGACUAAGGAGGUAUCGAAGCUAAUAGGUUACAGUGAUAGUAGCCACAACAUUGAUCCAGAUGACGGAAGAAGCACUAUGGGACAUGUGUUCUACUUUGGGAAGAGUCCAAUAUCGUGGUGCUCACAGAAACAAGAAGUUGUAGCAAUGUCAUCAUGCGAGGCAGAAUUCAUGGCCGGAACAGAAGCUGCGAAACAAGCCAUUUGGCUUCAAGAUCUACUAAGUGAAAUCACCGGAUCAUCUUGUGAGAAGGUUACUAUACUUAUUGACAAUCAAUCAGCGAUCGCGCUCACAAAGAACCCUGUUUUCCAUGGUAGAAGCAAGCAUAUUCAUAGACGUUAUCACUUCAUAAGAGAAUGCGUUGAGAAUGGGCUAAUUGAAGUUGUACAUGUUCCGGGAGACGAGCAAAAGGCGGACAUACUAACCAAGGCACUUGGUAGGAUCAAGUUCAAGGAAAUGAGGAGUCUCAUUGGAGUUAAAGAUAUGGUACAAGAUGGAUUCAAGCUUAAGAGGGAGAAUGUUGGUUAAGCUUGAAGAUUACUUGAACCGGAAGCAACUAAACCGAGUUAUGGUUUAGAGAAGAUAAAGUCAAAUAUAUUAGGAGUUAUCUAAUAUAUAUGUAAUCCUAGUGAGAUUAGGAUUUGAGAGACUUGUAUAAAUAGAGAGGUUGAGUCAUGACCUAAUUUGUGAGAGAGUUUAAGUUUUGAGAGAUUUUCUUAAACUAAUAAAGGCUAUUGAGUUUGUGAGUUAAACACUUUCUUUUGUUAAUAGUAAGAGUUUGAUCAUCAAAUAUCGUAUUCAAUAGCUCCAACAUCCUCUCAACUAACUCAUUCUUUUUUUUUUUUUUUUUUUU